UUAGAAAAUAGAUGAAACUCAUCCUUCUCAGCUAUCUCUCUCAACGUAAACUUCUCCCCUCUCUGUAAAAAUUCGACAGCCUCUCUACUUCUCCGAUCAGCCACCGUGAUAGUUCCAAUCACUCCUCCGUGAAGCAUGUAGUACCCUCCACCAAUCCAAGCUUUCAAUUCCUCCUAUUUCCUCUUAAUUUUGGAGCUCAAGUUGAAAACCACCUCCACUUAGCUUUGCAAAUUAGUUAAAAUUAGAGGUGAACCGAGUGCGAGCUCAAGUGAUAGGGGAAAGGGGCCGAUGCAGGGUUAAGUAAACAAGUAGAAGAGUUUUGUUGGCGUGUACAGAGAUUAUAUAUGAUUGUGUGGACGGUAUAACUCAAUGACAUAAACGAGACAUGGAAAGGUAAGAUGUGAGAAUUAUGUUUUGAAAUUGUGAAUUGGUGUGAUAUAUGAUAUGCAAAGUGAUUUAAAUAGCUAUACGUGUUGAAUAAUGUGAAAGCUAUCUGGACUAGUUGUUAUGCCCCAUUGCUUGAGUGAAUCACAGGGUAUAGUUGGCAUGCCAUAGGACAGCAGUACUGCACACAUGUUUGAUGCCUUAUGAUAGGCUAUACGAAAGAUAUAUAGCAUCUGAUAGUAUCUCACCCAGAUGCCUUAUAAUAGGCUAUACGAAAGAUGUACAACAUCUGAUAGUAUCUCACCCAGAUGUGGAUAUGACAGAGGCCCUCAUCGGGUUGCUUAUAGUGUCCGUGUACCCGUGUCCAUCGCUAAGCAUAAUUUGGGAGCUGAAUGUGAUAUGAAUGUGAUAUUUGA